rnacentral:rRNA from 1 species
AGAAUCAACGCUGGCGGCGUGCCUAACACAUGCAAGUCGAACGAGAAAGGGACUUCGGUCCUGAGUAUAGUGGCGCACGGGUGAGUAACACGUGAAUAAUCUACCUCCGAGUGGGGAAUAACUAAGAGAAAUCUUAGCUAAUACCGCAUAACACUUACGAGUCAAAGCAGCAAUGCGCUUGGGGAGGAGGUCGCGGCCGAUUAGCUAGUUGGCGGGGUAAUGGCCCACCAAGGCGAUGAUCGGUAUCCGGCCUGAGAGGGCGCACGGACACACUGGAACUGAAACACGGUCCAGACUCCUACGGGAGGCAGCAGUGGGGAAUUUUGCGCAAUGGGGGAAACCCUGACGCAGCAACGCCGCGUGGAGGAUGAAGUAUCUUGGUACGUAAACUCCUUUCGAUGGGGAAGAUAAUGACGGUACCCAUAGAAGAAGCCCCGGCUAACUUCGCGCCAGAGCCGC